UACGAAGGGGGCUAGCGUUGCUCGGAAUCACUGGGCGUAAAGGGUGCGUAGGCGGGUCUUUAAGUCAGGGGUGAAAUCCUGGAGCUCAACUCCAGAACUGCCUUUGAUACUGAGGAUCUUGAGUACGGGAGAGGUGAGUGGAACUGCGAGUGUAGAGGUGAAAUUCGUAGAUAUCUGGAGGAACACCGGUGGCGAAGGCGGCAUCCUGGACCGGCAUUGACGCUGAGGCGCGAAAGCCAGGGGAGCAAACGGG
rnacentral:rRNA from 1 species